UAAACACGAUUAGUCCCCCAGAGUCACGAGCAGUUGAAGUUCGCACUGAAAAGGAAGCGCACGAAACUUUUACCCUGUUUACUCUCGAGUAAUAAACUGGUGCGCUUCGACGCAGAUUUACCACUGUUGGUGUUUCUGUGUUUUAUUCCGACAGACGGUGUAAUAUUCCUGUUUACAAUUACCGUGGUCCUGCGACUCUUUCAUACCGGCGACGGGUAAAGAGAAUCAACACGUGAAAUAUUUUCUGUGAUAGGCUCCGGGCCACUGUGACCCUGACUUGGAGAAGCGGAUUCUGGUCGAGCGAGAACAAGAACUGCAGUAAAUUGCAUGUGCUGUAGGUGGAGCUCAAAUCCAAAAGGUUGAAGAAUGAACUGUUACAACUGAACAUGGUUGCAAAGGAUUAAAACAGCUUUAUUUAAGAUAUUAUUACUGAACUAAGAUUUAUGGGCACUUGAUAUUUUCCCCAGUGGAUUUGGAUAUGAUGUUCUACCAAACGAUAUGUGCAGUGUUUCUUCUGCUUUUAAAAUCUGACUUAUGUCCUCCAUGUGAUCGGGCUGAAUAUGAAAAAAAUGGAGAGUGUUGUCCCAUGUGUCCACCUGGAACCCGAGUUCACAGACACUGUACAGCGUACACCAGUACUACAUGUGUCCCAUGUAUUGGAGACACUUUCACCGACAAACCAAAUGGUCUGAUUUCCUGCUUUCCCUGUACAGUGUGUCAAAAAGGUCUUGGUGUGAAGACAGUAAAGGAGUGUACAGCCUCUUCAGACACAGUGUGUGGAGUCCUGGAAGGGAACUAUUGUAUUGAUCCUUAUGGGGGAGGAUGUAGAGCAGCACAGGAACACACAACCUGCAAACCUGGACACUUCAUCAAACACCCUGGAACAGACUCUACUGACACCGUGUGUGAAAUCUGCCCUGAAAACUCUUUCUCAGAUGGAUCUUCUACCUCCUGUACAUCACACACAGACUGUCAAUCCAAAGGACUUCCCACAGUGAAACCAGGAGACAGUGUGUCUGAUUCUCAGUGUGGAGAGAAGAAUUGGGCUCCUCUGAUAGUUGGGAUUGUACUUGGAAUAAUUUUAGUGUUAUUACUCGUUGGAGGAGUAAAACUGUACAAAUCACGGGUCUGUCCAAAGAAAAACAACUCCAGCAAACCAGGGCCCUUACAACAAGAUCAGGAAUGCCAACUGCAGCAAUCAGAAGAAAGUGAAGUUGUUCAGAAACAAAUUCCUGCUCAGAUUCUCAUAAAUUGUUAAACAAACCAAUAAACAAUAUUUUGCACAGAAUUAAAUACCUCACCUCAGCCUGUUGAGCAGAGAUCAGACAGUGAAGAUGUGACAGCUGGUGUUUUCGAAGCAGAAUGAGAAGGCUGUUAAGCCCAUGAAAUAUCAUCCACUGACUCAUGACCCAUAACCACUUAUCCGAAGAGUUUUAGAAGAAUUUCACAACAGAUGAAUCAUUGGAUAGAACAUUGAAGACAAGAAGUACAAUGAGAAAACUGGGACUAAUUCC